rnacentral:rRNA from 1 species
UACGGAGGGGGCAAGCGUUGUUCGGAAUUACUGGGCGUAAAGCGCAUGUAGGCGGCUUGGAAAGUCGGGGGUGAAAUCCCGGGGCUCAACCCCGGAACUGCCUUCAAAACUCCCAGUCUGGAGGUCGAGAGAGGUGAGUGGAAUUCCGAGUGUAGAGGUGAAAUUCGUAGAUAUUCGGAAGAACACCAGUGGCGAAGGCAGCUCACUGGUCCGGUACUGACGCUGAUGUGCGAAAGCGUGGGGAGCAAACAGG